GACGAACGCUGGCGGCGUGCUUAACACAUGCAAGUCGAACGGAAAGGCCCUGCUUGCAGGGUACUCGAGUGGCGAACGGGUGAGUAACACGUGGGUGAUCUGCCCUGCACUUCGGGAUAAGCCUGGGAAACUGGGUCUAAUACCGGAUAGGAGCCAUUUUUAGUGUGAUGGUUGGAAAGUUUUUUCGGUGUAGGAUGAGCUCGCGGCCUAUCAGCUUGUUGGUGGGGUAAUGGCCUACCAAGGCGGCGACGGGUAGCCGGCCUGAGAGGGUGGACGGCCACAUUGGGACUGAGAUACGGCCCAGACUCCUACGGGAGGCAGCAGUGGGGAAUAUUGCACAAUGGGCGCAAGCCUGAUGCAGCGACGCCGCGUGGGGGAUGACGGCCUUCGGGUUGUAAACUCCUUUCGCUAGGGACGAAGCUUUUUGUGACGGUACCUAGAUUAGAAGCACCGGCUAACUACGUGCCAGUCGCCGCGGUAA
rnacentral:rRNA from 1 species